UCUGGUUGGUCUAAUCUGGCAUGUUGAGUUCUGUUCUGGUUGGUCUAAUCUGGCAUGUUGAGCUCUGGUCUGGUUGGUCUAAUCUGGCAUGUUGAGCUCUGUACUGGUUGGUCUAAUCUGGCAUGUUGAGCUCUGGUUGGUCUAAUCUGGCGUGUUGAGCUCUGUUCUGGUUGGUCUAAUCUGGCAUGUUGAGAUCUGGUCUGGUUGGUCUAAUCUGGCAUGUUGAGCUCUGGUCUGGUUGGUCUAAUCUGGCAUGUUGAGCUCUGCUCUGGUUGGUCUAAUCUGGCAUGUUGAGCUCUGGUCUGGUUGGUCUAAUCUGGCAUGUUGAGCUCUGCUCUGGUUGGUCUAAUCUGGCAUGUUGAGCUCUGGUCUGGUUGGUCUAAUCUGGCAUGUUGAGCUCUGCUCUGGUUGGUCUAAUCUGGCAUGUUGAGCUCUGGUCUGGUUGGUCUAAUCUGGCAUGUUGAGCUCUGGUUGGUCUAAUCUGGAGUGUUGAGCUCUGGUUGGUCUAAUCUGGCAUGUUGAGCUCUGUUCUGGUUGGUCUAAUCUGGCGUGUUGAGCUCUGUUCUGGUUGGUCUAAUCUGGCAUGUUGAGCUCUGGUUGGUUGGUCUAAUCUGGCAUGUUGAGCUCUGGUCUGGUUGGUCUAAUCUGGCAUGUUGAGCUCUGGUCUGGUUGGUUUAAUCUGGCAUGUUGAGCUCUGUUCUGGUUGGUCUAGUCUGGCAUGUUGAGCUCUGGUUGGUCUAAUCUGGCAUGUUGAGCUCUGGUCUGGUUGGUCUAAUCUGGCAUGUUGAGCUCUGGUUGGUUGGUCUAAUCUGGCAUGUUGAGCUCUGGUCUGGUUGGUCUAAUCUGGUGUGUUGAGGUCUGUUCUGGCUGGUCUAAUCUGGAAUGUUGAGCUCUGGUCUGGUUGGUCUAAUCUGGCAUGUUGAGCUCUGUUCUGGUUGGUCUAAUCUAGCAUGUUGAGCUCUGUUCUGGCUGGUCUAAUCUGGCAUGUUGAGCUCUGGUUGGUUGGUCUAAUCUGGCAUGUGGAGCUCUGGUCUGGUUGGUCUAAUCUGGCAUGUUGAGCUCUGUUCUUGUUGGU